GCGAUGCGUUCAGAUUAGUUGCAGCGCAAAAACAGUACGUGUUUUGAUUGAUGUAUUCCACCGUAAUUCAUAUAAUAGGAGUGAUAUGUGUGAUAGGUGACGUUAGUGUUGUGGAAACAAUGAAUAUCACAGAGAAGGAGAUAGGUCAUGAAAGGAUACUGUUUGAUACAUUUGGAUUAUUGUAUACAAAUAACAGUCUAUCUGUGGUUAAAAACCCCAAAGAACAAAAUUGUCUGCAACUUACAGCAAAUGAAAAAAUCAUAAAAAAAUGUUUCAAACAAUUAAAGACAGGAUGCCACGUUGAAAUUCGAAAUGAAGAUAUUUUACAUUCAGACAACCCAAAUGAUAAAACUUGGAAACAAGACUUGAAUUUACCAUCAACAUCAAUUUCUACUCAUUGUCGGUAUGCUAUUUCAGACGAAUCUGAUGAUGAAUCCUCAGUGGCUGAAAUGAGUUCUAGCGUGACAAGAGUCUUAUUUCCCACCAAAAAAACUAAUAAAAACCAUUAUCCACCAUCAACAUCAAAUUCUACUUAUAGUCGAUAUGUUAUUUCAGAUAAGUGUUGCUAUCUAAAUAAAAGUUGCAAUCAUAUUCUGUUACAUUUUAGACGAAUCUGAUGAUGAAUCUUCAGUGGCUAAUAUAAGUUCUAACGUGAGGAGGGUCUUAUUUUCCACCAAAACAACUAAUAAAAAACAUUAUUCCACGAAAAAUAACAUGUGCGUGUAUUGUCAAAAAUCUAACGCAAAAUUAUCCAGACAUUUAGUUACGGUUCACAAAAACGAAAAAGAAGUGAAGGAAUUAUUAAAAUUUCCAAAAGGAUCUCAUGAAAAAAACAAAAUCUACGAUACUCUGAGAAAAAAUGGCAAUUACAAAUAUAACGUUGAAAACGAAAAUGAAAUUUUUCUAGUGAGGCACAUAAUAAAGAAGUUAAUAGUGAUAAUUAUAAACCUUGCGCUAAUUGCAAAGGCUACUAUUCCUUCAAGUCUCUACGACAGCACUAUGCACGAUGUGCCAGUGGAACAGUAGAAACUGGUAGACGUAAUAUUUUGAUUAAGAGCCGGGCAAUUGAACGAAAGGCCCACUGUCGGGCUAACACAGUUUUAAGAGACAUUGUACUUCCUGUUAUGAGAGAAGAUGAGGUUUGCAAAGUGGUGAGAUACGAUGAGUUGGCCAUUUUAUUUGGCAAUAGACUCACCGUUAAAUUCAAGUCGCCACAUCAUUACGAUAUGAUUCGAGCAAAAUUAAGAUUAAUUGGGCGGUUUUUGCUUGCCCUUGAAAGUGAGGGGGUAGAAGUACAGGAUUUUCAGGACGCUUUAAGACCACAACGCUUUGAUGAUGCAAUAAAAGGGAUAAACGCUGUGGCUGGACUUAGAAAUGGGAAGUACAGUUCACCUGCUACGGCUUUUUCAUUAGGCUUAUUGUUGAAAGAUGCAACGAAGUUGUUAAUAACAGAAUGUAUUAAAAAGGAAGACAAUCAGCGUAAAAAGAAUGCUCAAGAUUUCCUCAAAUUGUUGGAGUCCGAAUUAAAUGCUAGCAUAAAUAAGACAGUAACCGAAAAUUGGUCGGAACGGCAACGUCAGAAAAAAGUUAUUUUACCUUCGAGAGAAGAUAUAAAAAUUCUCAUAACUUUUCUUCACAAAAAAAGGAAGAGGCUUGUGGAAAACCUAAAAGAAACGUUUUCUUACCAUGACUGGUUGGAAUUGUCUAAAAGCACGCUGGUGUCAAUUUUAAUAUUCAACAGAAGGCGUCCAGGUGAACUAGAGAGAUCAACAAUUGAUGAUUAUAAUGGCUAUGUAAAAAUUGAUUCAUUGACGAAUAAAGAAAUCUAUGAUCCCCUAAGUGAAGAAGGAAAGAAAUGUGCUAGAGAAUAUGUUAGGUUUAGAACUAGAGGAAAAAAGGGUCGAACUGUACCAGUCUUAUUAGAUAAAUUUAUGAAUGUAUGUGUAGAUGUCAUAUUAAAAGGAAGAGAAGAAGCUGGUGUUUCGAAGACUAAUCCAUACAUAUUUGGUAUACCGACCGAUCACAAGACACCUAAAUAUUUAAGAGCUUAUCGUUUACUAAAGACAUAUGCCGAGGAUUCGAAAGCAAAGUGUCUCAGUACAUUGAAAUCGACUGAGUUGCGAAAGCAUAUAGCCACAACAUCCGUCAAGUUAAAUUUGGCCGAAUUUGAAGUGGAAAAUUUACAGCAAUUUAUGGGCCACGCAGAUAAAAUACACAAAGAAUAUUACAGACAACCACUAGUAGAAAGAGAUAUAUUGAACAUGUCUAAACUUUUAACAUUUGCACAAGGUGAUAGAUCUGAAUUUCAUGAUAUUGCCGCAAAUAACAUAGAUCAAAAUGUAGAGCUACCAGUUGAAGAAAGUUCUCAAGAACAUACUGCUCCUGAUUCUCCUACCGCAAACAUUUCGAGGAAGGUUUACAAAAGGGCAUGGUCAACACCAGAAAAAAAGUGUGUUCUGCAGUGUUUUCAUGAGGAUAUUAGAAAAGGAGUAACACCAUCUGCUAAUAAAUAUAGUCGAGUGUUGGCUGAAAAUUUGGUACUACACAACAGGAAUAUAACCUCACUUAAAGCUUAUAUUAAUAAUUUGAUCAAUCGGAGAGACAAAAUUCCUGAACGAACACAAGCCCGAAGAAACUAUUGGACUACCCCUGAAAAAAAAGCAAUCCGUUCUGAAUUCAGCCACCAUAUCCAGAAUCAACGUUAUCCUAGCAUGACGGAAUGUAGAAUUUCGAUAGAGGAAAACCCAGAUCUACAGCGCAGAACCCCAAAGAAAAUAUGGCAUAUAUAUAUAUAUAUGUUCAUAAAGUGGGCUUUUCCGCACAUUUUUCGAGUAAAUUUCAGUCAGUUUGGCAUAUUUUGUGCUCUUUCGCACUGGUGCCAAACUACCACCGCACCCGGUCGGCAGUUCGGCACGUGAUUUGGCAACAUGGUAUAGGAUCGACAAACAUGCAACAGAAAAUCAUUAAUUGAAAGCAGAAUUUCUUCUUUCCACAGCACUUGAUGUACAAAAAUGAAAGUUUUCAAGAUUUGGAAUGCAGCACGAACAAUUAAUAAAUUUGUUGCAGUGCACGAAUGCGACAGUCUUCUUCAGGAACUUAUUUCCAAAGCCAGUCGAAAAUUAAAUAUACACGAAUCAGAUGAGCUUAAGCUGUAUUUAGAGUCAGACGGAACUGAAGUUGAUGAUUCCAUACAUUUGGAAACCAUUCAAAAUCAAGUGUUGUUGUUAUUAAAGAAAAAUGAAGUGUGGCAACCAUGUAAUGACACUGCUAAAAUUUCCUCACCUACAUGUACUACAACAUUAGAUUCUGAAGAACAGAAAAAAUUAAGCAGCGACUCAACUCUUACUAUACCGUCUACUAGCAGUGAAGGGCUAAACGUUUCUGAAAAUACUUGGAUUCAUUUUAAGAUUCCUUGGGAAAAAUUAACACGAUCUACUAUCGAUUCCCUUGAAAAAAGUCAGUGCGAUAAACAAACCAGAACAAAAGUUGUUAACGUUAUUGUUGAUAAUAUGUUAGAAGUAACGAAAUACCAACAAAGACCUUUCAAAUCAUCGCUCAUAAACUAGUGGCAAAAUAUCCUAAAUCUUUCCAAGAUUAUGACGAUGACGGGAUGGUAAUUGGAAGUGGUUUAAUUACUAUCUGCAAUCAGCUCAAAGAAAGCCCGCCAUGCCGAAAAUGAGGAAACUGAAGAAGCGUCCACUUCUAAGGCCAUAGAAGUAAGGGAAGAGCCU